rnacentral:rRNA from 1 species
AAAUAUUGGGACAUAUAAAAAAAGACAACUCUGUUCCGCAGAGUAGCUGUUGACAUUAUAGUUGCGCAGGCACUUUGUUGACUCUAGAGAACUUCGGGCCAAUCGCACAUCCCUGUGAUGGUGACUUUGCAUUUGGAUGUCAUCCAUAUCAACUUUCGAUGCCAGUUUCUGCGCCUACUAUGGUGACCACGGGUAACGUGGAAUCAGGGUUCCAUUCCAUACAGGGACCCUGAGAAAUGUCUACCAUAUGCAAGGAAGGCAGCAGGCGCGCAAAUGACCCACUCCCAACGCGGGAAGGUAGUGAU